rnacentral:rRNA from 1 species
UACGGAGGGAGCUAGCGUUGUUCGGAAUUACUGGGCGUAAAGCGCACGUAGGCGGCUUUGUAAGUUAGAGGUGAAAGCCCGGAGCUCAACUCCGGAAUUGCCUUUAAGACUGCAUCGCUUGAAUCCAGGAGAGGUGAGUGGAAUUCCGAGUGUAGAGGUGAAAUGCGCAGAUAUCAGGAAGAACACCCGUGGCUAAGGCGGCUCUCUAGUACGGUACUGACGCUGAGACGCGAAAGCGUGGGGAGCGAACAGG